rnacentral:misc_RNA from 1 species
AGUGGGGUCCACUUUGCUGAUCCUUGACGUGAUAAGAUGUUUCUACGUUUUGGAUUUAGUAUUGUCUUUUGGAUGCCUGCUCCUAACUGUCUCACAGACAAUGAUGGUGCUCUGGUCACUGCCAUCUAUAUUGGUAGGAGGCUGGACCCACAAAAAGAAACCUUGACCUCAAGUCGGGUGAGACUACCCGCUGAACUUAA